CCGUGCUAGGCGGGGAGGUAGCGGUGCCCUGUACUCGCAAUCCGCUCCAGCGAGGCUGAAUUCCUUUUCACGGUUAAUAUAUUGCAGGGUCUGCCUUAAGUAAGUGGUGUUGACGUUUGGGUCCUGCGCAAUGAGAAUCCAUGAACCAUGUCAGGUCCGGAAGGAAGCAGCAUUAAGUGGAACCUCUCAUGUGCCGCAGGAUCGCCUGGACUGAGCUAACUGCUUGAGUAACGCUUGUGAUUGUUAAUCAACAAAAGGUGCACGG
rnacentral:SRP_RNA from 1 species